rnacentral:misc_RNA from 1 species
UCUCCGUUGGUGAACCAGCGGAGGGAUCAUUACAGAGUUGCAAAACUCCCAAACCCUUGUGAACGUUACCUAUCCCGUUGCUUCGGCGGGCGGCCCGGGCCCCGCCCCCGGCGCCCCCCGGCCCCCCGUGGGCGCCCGCCGGAGGUAAACCAAACCCUUGAAUUGCAUGGCCUCUCUGAGUCUUUUGUACUGAAUAAGUAAAAACUUUCAACAACGGAUCUCUUGGUUCUG